UUGGUCUGUUGAAGUUGAACUGUGGGAUUGUUGGAGCAGCGGGAAUAUCAGAAUGAAAGCAAGAAACUACAGUAAAAGUUCACUUUGUUCAAGAGGCGCACACGGUCCCUCAGUGAUGCGGCACCAAUUGAGGGAGCGAGCCAAUCCCCAGGAGUUUGUUCUAAUUUCUUCUCAUCUGAACCGUGUUAACCUCCAGCACCGCCAGGAAAUUAAGUUGCACAAGAGGCUUAAGGUUUUCAAAGACAGCAGCGUGCUGAUCGUCGUCGUCCUCAUCUGCUGCCACUGUGGAACUCUUUGAAGACGGAGUGAUAUCUCAUACAUGUAAAUAAUCUGCUGAGGGGAAGGAGCCGCAGCACGGAGACGGAGACGGCUCCGUGAACGCAUCAAUCAUUUAUUUAUCAAUCACAGUUAACAAAACACAAAACUAUAUAUGAGACAAGGGGCUCCCAAACCCCCUCCACCCGCUCAUUCUCCCCCUCUGACUCCCCCAAAAGUUGUCUCCAGAAACUGCACUAUUGUUGAGGAACUGAACCUGAGACCUUGUUUGUGCAGCUACGUCUCUUGGAUUUUCAUCAGUAGGACUGGACGGGCUCUCGGCCAAUCACAGAGGGACCUUGUGAUUGGCACAGAAAUGAUGAUGUCAGAGCCUCUUCUGUGGGCAGGAGGCCUGAAGACACCGGUCUGGGCUAGUGCAGUACUGGGAGUGAACUGGGACCCAGUUUGAGAGAGAGACUGUGUCCUCCGCCUGAUGUCCUGACAUGCUUUCUCUCUCUCUCUCUCUCUCUCUCUCUCUCUCUGUGUGUCUUUGUCCUGGAUGUGGAUUAUUGUCUAAUCCCUGAUAUUCAUCAUCUGAAGUUCAUCGGAGGUCACAGGACUCGAUUGUUCUGGUCUGUUUUCAUGAAGUCAUGUGAUUGACAUGUUUCAUAAUUCAUUUUCUUCUAUCAUUUGUGAAGGUGAUGACUUUGGAAACACGACGUGAAAUGCUGACAUCAGGAAUUCUUUUUUAAAUUCAGUCAAAUUCAGGGCAUCUGUACGUGACCUUGUCACCAGUACCGAUACAUCUUUAGGUUUAGUUUUAAUAAAUAUGAACUGGAAUACAGUGA